UACAGAGGGUGCAAGCGUUGUUCGGAAUUAUUGGGCGUAAAGGGCGCGUAGGCGGUGCUGUAAGUCUGUAGUGAAAUCUCUGGGCUCAACUCAGAGUCUGCUAUAGAAACUGCAGUGCUGGAGUGUGGGAGAGGUGAGUGGAAUUCCCGGUGUAGCGGUGAAAUGCGUAGAUAUCAGGAGGAACACCGGUGGCGAAGGCGGG
rnacentral:rRNA from 1 species